AUUUACUCUUCGAAAGAUUAUUUUGAUGAAUGGCAAAAAAAUUUUGAUCAAUGUCACGAAGUGAUUUUGACUUAGUCCUUUUAAAAAGUAUCCCUCAAAAUCUACGGAAUUCGAAGCGAACUUGCAAAAUGAUACGAAGAGUAAUGGUGAUGAAUGAUCAAGGCAGCCCUCAUCUCGUUGAAUUCUGCGAAUUUCAGGUUGGAAUUUCAGAUUUUUCUUCAUCAAAUAAAAAUUAAAUCUAUACAUCCUCCCAUAACUCGAUUCAGUUUCAGUUUCGGGUUUUGAUUUCAUGAUUUCUUAACCGAAUUGAUGAAUCAUGAUUUAAAUUGUAAGAAUAUUCAGUGGAGAAGCAACAGGGGGUGGUUGGGGGGGUUUGCGGAUGUUAGGUUUUGUGUCUUUAAUAUUGUUUUGAUUUUUUGGGUUUUGUAUUAUGUUUUUUUUCUUAAUUUUUGUAUGAAUUCAGUUAUUUUUGUUUUGACCUCCUAGAAGAAAAGAUUUACUGUCAAUUAUGACUAGAAAUUAACUCUUCUUAAUAUGUGAAGUUAUGUGGUGCAGUUCUAUGCAGUAGAGCUGAGAAUGGGAGUAAUUUCAUUAAGUUUGAUUCGCUAUUUGGCUCGGUGUUUGCCUUCUCUUCUCUGGCCUUAAUCCUAAUGUGAUUAUAUUUGGCUGGAGUACAUAUUGCUGAAUGAUGUUGGUGGGGUCCUGCUUGCCCUCAUUUUCCUUUUUUGCAUGUGCAUGUUGUUGGGGGGGGAUCCUCUCUCGAUCGAAGUUCUAUGUGCAAUUGUAAUAUAAUUUUAACAUAUUUUCUUACCUUUUAUAACUCUUCUAAGGUUGGAACGUGGCCUAUAAAUACAAGGCUCCUCUCUCAGUUUUGUUUAUGCAUUAUUGUUGUGUCUGUAAUUUAUCUCCAUAUCGUCAAUUAAUAUACAUUGUUUCUCUGCGAUUAACUCUUUUUGUUCCUUUUUACUUUUAAUUUUGUUUCUUAUUAUGAUCUUUAUUACUUCAUAUUGUAUAAUUAUUUUCAUUCAUUACAUUCCCUCUAGAUCAAACAAGUGGUAUCGGAGUUUGGCUUUUUUUUUUUUUUUUCUGUGGAGCGGUUGAGAUUUUUUCAAAGAUGACUAUCAUGAAGUAUGACAUUUCGAUGCUGGACCACAAUACCAUGUUUUCUUUGUGGCAAGUAACGAUGAGGAAAAUUUUGACGCAGUUGGAUUUGGACGAUGCGUUACUGGAUUUUGAGAAGAUGUCAGUUGAUUGGACAACGGAGGGAUCGAAAGGCUUUAUUGCAAAUUCAUCUAUAUUUAUCCAAUAAUAUUCUGAAUGAAGUCUUGAAGGAGAAAAUAGCGGCUGCUUUGUGGUUGAAAUUAGAACAGUUAUGCAUGAAUAAAAGUCUCACGAUCAAACUGGCUCUAAAGAAGAAGUUGUAUUCCCAUCGCAUGGAAGAAAGAGGGUCACUGGAGGACCAUAUUGCCGUGUUCAAGGAAAUAGUUGCAAAUCCGGAGAUGUUAGAGGUUAAGUAUGAUGAAGAGGAUCUAGUCUUAAUUCUGUUGUGUUCGCUGUCUAGUUCUUAUCUGUCGUUUUGGAACACUAUUUUGUAUAGUCGGGAUGCUUUGAAUAUAGAUGACGUCUAUGAUGCUUUGCACUGAAAGAAGAAGUUGAAGCAUUUGGUUGGAGCUACAUCGAGAGAUGAGGAAGCUCUUGUAUCUCAUGGUGGUCGAUGGAGUGGCAGACCGAAGAAUAAUAGCAAUUUGUUUUGCUUCUAUUGCAGACAUAAGGGAUAUAUUCGAAAGGAUUGUGAUAAGUUGUAGGCUAAAGGUGAUUUAACUGCAAAUCGUGGAGUGCAACCAUUGACUUCAGACGAAACAAAUAUAGUUGAGAAUUUUUUCGACGAUGGAGAUGUGAUGUUGACCCUGGCAUCUGACGUAAAAUCUAGGCCUGACGAUGCGUGGAUUCUCGACUCGGUAUGUUCGUAUUAUAUGUGUUCCAAUUGGAAUUUCUUUAAGACAUAUGAGACUGUUCAGCAAGGUGGAGUUGUAAUGGGAAACAACCAGUCUUGCCGUAUUGCUGGGAUCGGUCGAGUCAGAUUUAGGCUGCUGGAUAGGAUAGUCAAAACAAUUAAUCAGGUUUGACAUGUUCCAAACUUGAAAAAGAAUCUCAUCUCGCUUAGUACUCUGAAUGUAAAAGGGUAUAAAUUCUCUAAUGGAGGUGGAGUUUUAAAUGUCCGAAAGGGUGUCCGAAUUAUACUAGAGGGACGGAUGCCUCAGUUGUGCAUGUUGUAGGGGAGCGCAGAACCAGCUAAAAGACAUAUGGACAAGUUCAGUACCGUGGUAGAUAUUCAAUUUGGUACAGUACUUCUUGUGAAGGACUCUAGGUCGGUUCAGAAUAUUGCUCGAGGAAGCGUUGGUGAUUCCGCUUUGCCACCAAUUUCAGCAAUUACAUUGUGUUCAGUUGCUAGGAUUGGAUCAAUUAAGCUUAGGUACGGUGGGGUCAAUGAUGUCUGUAAUGCUUUUGGGGACGUUGGAGGUGACAGUUCUAAUAAGGGGCCUUUUGUUCAGGCAUUUUGUAUGAUUUCUGCUACAGAGUGUGUUUCGACCCUAUUUGGUAAACAUUAAUUCCUUGGUGGAAUUUUGGGAACUCGGGCGUAGGGUUCAGGUGUCGUUUGUAGAUGCCGUGCAGAAGACGAUGGUUUAAAUGGAGAGUUUUGGUUACUGCAUUAAAGAAAUUAGCUAUUUUAUUUUGAUACAAAUGGAUUUAUUUCUCAGGUGGAGAAAUUUUGUGAAGUUUCGCUCGUUGCACCGAAAUUUGAGUUAAGGUGGAGAUUGUUAGAUUUUGUGACUCAAAUAUGAUUAGGAGUCUUGUGAGAUUGUAUAUUUGAUUUUUACUGGGAAACGAAGAUUGUAUUCAAGUUGAAUAAGGAAAGGAAAUUCUCUUUGGGUUGAAGUUCUAUGUGCAAUUGUAACAUAAUUUUAACAGAUUUUCUUACUUUUUAGAACUCUUCUAGGAUUUGGAACGUGGCCUAUAAAUACAAGGCUCAUCUGUCAGUUUUGUUUAUACAUUAUUGCUGUGUCUAUAAUUUCUCUCCAUAUUGUUAAUUAAUAUACAUCGUUUCUCUGUGAUUAACUCUAUUUUUUCUUUUUUACUUUUAAUCUUGUUUCUUAUUGUGAUCUUUAUUACUUUAUAUUGAGUCAUUAAUCUCAUUCAUUACAAUCCCUUCGAGUCCAACAUGGGGUAAAAACAUGGGGUAAAGGCUGGCUGGAGAAAUUAGCAAACACUAUAUUCAUAGUUGUAUGAACCAACAAUAGAUUGAUCAAUGACAAUUGUUUGAGUUUCAAUGUGGAUUAUCCUUGGGGUUCUUGCCCCUUGGUGCAUCUUGUACUUAGAAUCUACAAAUAAUACUUUGCUGGAUGUGAGGCUUGUGUACAAUACUUAUGCGACUCGAUACUUUGUAUUCAUAUUUGAUAGCUCUGACAAUGAGCUUGCAAUGCUUGAUCUUAUGCAAGGUAUAUCUAGUCCAUCAAUUGAUGUGUUCAAACUUUGUCUCAUUGAACUUUUACUCCCACUUCAUUGAUCCUCUGCAUAAUUGAAGCAACUAUGACAGUAAAUCAUGACAUAGCUUAGAAACAUAAAUCAAGUAAGAAAGAAAGUUGAUUCACCUGUAUGUCAUAUUUUGGUCACGUCAUUAUUUUUAAAAUGCAUGUGAUUCUACUGUAUACAAGUUGUAUCCUGGAACAAACAUCACCAGGUUGAUUUGUAAAACUGUGGGUAUCCACUUUUUAUUAUUACAGUACUAGCACUGGACAUGUUGUAAAAGCCUAUUAACUGAGCUUAUUGAUUUUAUUUAGCUUUGAACUAGUCCCAGGUUCCUACUGACAUAGAAGAGCAUAAAAAACUAGGCAUUGUUCUGUUUCCAUUUUGAAAUUUGUACUCGUGGAAUUGUGUGUUAGAGACACCUAUCUAUUUCUGUUGGUUUGUUUAUUUUAAUCAUUGAAUUACAGUUUUUGUAGAGGCAUUGGGCAAGUGUUUCAGUAAGGUAUGUGAGCUAGACAUGUUAUUCAACUUUAACAAGGUUAUUAUUCUUUUCUUUAAAAUUAGAAAAACCCAUAUAAAAAUAAUUACUGAUUUUUUGCGUAGUCAUCCUUACUGCUAUGCAACGUGAUGCGGAAUCAUUUUUACUGUACUAGUCUAAUAGUUGAUUACUCUGGUUAAACUGUUUGUUGUUAUUGCCAUCACAAGCUUGUAAUGAGCAAUUGACAGUUAUUUCUGCUAAGCUCGCCAAGAUUUCAAGUGAUAAGAAAUUGAUAUAGUGGAGCAACCAAACAUUGUUUUAUGUCUAUUAACUUCUUAUUUAAGUCCUAGCACUUUGUAUUGAUUUUACUAGUGAAUUUUGUUGCUACUACAUAUGCUCAUGCUGCAAUAGUGGAAACUGUUUCAGUACUUUUAGCCUAAUAUCAGUGCAAAUGAGUAGAAUUUUUUUAUUACUUUUGGAUACGUGCCAGUUUUGCUUAGUGCUUAAUAUAUACAAAUCUCAAGAAGCCUUUCAAAUCCUUGUUCUGUAGAAUCAUGAUAGUCGCUGCCCAUGGGUAUAAUUCAUGUUUGAGCUGUUUUGCAGGCGCAUAUUAUUUUGAUGAAUUCAUUUUGGGCGGUCAAGUUCUAGAGAAAUUUUUUUCAGAAGUUGUGAAGACAGUUGAAGAAAUCUCAAUCCAAAUCUCCUAAUUACACGAUAGAGAAGGAUGGAGAUAGUGCUGAGACUUGCACUAUAAGGUUUCAUGCAGGGCCCCCUUAUGAAGACAUAGUAAGUCAUCGUCGUUGUCUCCUUUCGGUUUCCAGUAUAUUUUGUUGUCUUCAUCGUCUCCUUUUGUUUUCCAGUAUAUUUUGUCGUCUUCGUCAUCUCCUUUUGUUUUCCAGUAUAAGGUUUAAUUGGAAUUUUGUCGUCCACUGAUGACUAGUUCUGUUGGAAACUUAUGAAUUGACAUGACUACGCCCCCUGACUGGUCUCCUCAUCUGUGUGCUAGGCAUUUCGAAUUGUCAACAAAGAAUGGGAGUACUCGCACAAGAAGGGCUUCAAGAGUACGUUUGAACGCGGGAUCUUGAAUCUGUAUUUCAACUUUAAACGUUAUCGAUACCGUCGUUGAUACUAUUUUGGCACGGAAAAUGGUAGAGGCCUGGAUAUUGCUAAUUUAUAAUUGUUAUGAGCUUAUUUUAUUGAAGAAUUUACGUGUAUUACUGGAUAUAUAUUUUUGAUGUUGUGGUUGUUAUCGGAUAUAGACGUGUAUAGUAUAGCUUUUUCAGGUGAUAUGAACUAUGAAGAAAAACCUCUCAUAUAAAUGGUGGCAAAAAACUACUACCAUUUGUUAACCAUACAGCCUUGGGAAUUCCCAUAAAAGACAUCCAAAGCUCCUAAAAAUUCCAUCAAUUCCUGGUUGGCAGGGUCGACAACAGCUGUAUUGUUUUAGUAACUUCCCAGAUCACAAUCUUAUGUUGAAUGGACAAGUGAUGAGAUGUUAGAAUUUCUCAAUAUUGUGUUGCUGAUGAUUUAUGAAUAUAAUUUAGCAAGAAACAUAUUGAGAUUAUUUUUCAAUAUUGUUUUGUG
rnacentral:lncRNA from 1 species